CGGGUAGAGUAAUAUAUGGACGUAUCCAAGUAAUGGGGGAUAACUAGUCGAAGAUUAGCUAAUACCGCAUACGCCCUGAGGGGGGAAAAGGCGGGGAUCUUCGGACCUAGCGUUAAUGGAGCGGCCGAUAUCUGAUUAGCUAGUAGGUGAGGUAAGAGCUCACCUAGGCGACGAUCAGUAGCUGGUCUGAGAGGACGACCAGCCACACUGGAACUGAGACACGGUCCAG
rnacentral:rRNA from 1 species